rnacentral:rRNA from 1 species
GAUGAACGCUGGCGGCGUGCCUAAUACAUGCAAGUCGAGCGAACAGACGAGGAGCUUGCUCCUCUGACGUUAGCGGCGGACGGGUGAGUAACACGUGGAUAACCUACCUAUAAGACUGGGAUAACUUCGGGAAACCGGAGCUAAUACCGGAUAAUAUAUUGAACCGCAUGGUUCAAUAGUGAAAGACGGUUUUGCUGUCACUUAUAGAUGGAUCCGCGCCGCAUUAGCUAGUUGGUAAGGUAACGGCUUACCAAGGCAACGAUGCGUAGCCGACCUGAGAGGGUGAUCGGCCACACUGGAACUGAGACACGGUCCAGACUCCUACGGGAGGCAGCAGUAGGGAAUCUUCCGCAAUGGGCGAAAGCCUGACGGAGCAACGCCGCGUGAGUGAUGAAGGUCUUCGGAUCGUAAAGCUCUGUUAUUAGGGAAGAACAAAUGUGUAAGUAACUAUACACGUCUUGACGGUACCUAAUCAGAAAGCCACGGCUAACUACGUG